UACGUAGGGGGCGAGCGUUGUCCGGAUUUAUUGGGCGUAAAAGAGCGUGUAGGCGGCCCAGGUAGGUCUGCUGUGAAAACUCGAGGCUCAACCUCGAGACGUCGGCGGAAACCAUCUGGCUAGAGUCCGGAAGAGGAGAGUGGAAUUCCUGGUGUAGCGGUGAAAAUGCGUAGAUAUCGUAAGGAAAGACCAGUGGCGAAGGCGG
rnacentral:rRNA from 1 species